AGAACGAACGCUGGCGGCAGGCCUAACACAUGCAAGUCGAACGCUCUCGCAAGAGAGAGUGGCGCACGGGUGCGUAACGCGUGGGAACGUACCUCUAGGUACGGAAUAGUCCAGGGAAACUUGGGUUAAUACCGUAUAAUAUCUCCGGAUCAAAGAUUUAUCGCCUAGAGAUCGGCCCGCGUUGGAUUAGCUAGUUGGUGAGGUAACGGCUCACCAAGGCAACGAUCCAUAGCUGGUCUGAGAGGAUGAUCAGCCACACUGGAACUGAGACACGGUCCAGACUCCUACGGGAGGCAGCAGUGAGGAAUAUUAGACAAUGGGGGCAACCCUGAUCCAGCCAUGCCGCGUGAGUGAUGAAGGCCUUCGGGUUGUAAAACUCUUUUAGAUGUGACGAUGAUGACGGUAACAUCAGAAAAAGCUCCGGCUAACUUCGUGCCAGCAGCCGCGGUAAUACGAAGGGAGCGAGCGUUGUUCGGAAUCACUGGGCUUAAAGCGUGCGUAGGCGGAUGUGUAAGUAAGAAGUGAAAUCCCAGGGCUUAACCCUGGAACUGCUUUUUAGACUGCACAUCUGGAAUUCGGUAGAGGUUGGUGGAACUCCUAGUGUAGAGGUGAAAUUCGCAGAUAUUAGGAAGAACACCGGUGGCGAAGGCGACCAACUGGACCGAUAUUGACGCUGAGGCACGAAAGCGUGGGUAGCAAACAGGAUUAGAUACCCUGGUAGUCCACGCUGUAAACCAUGUAUGCUAGCUGUUGGAGUCCUUAGGGCUUCGGCGGCGGAGAGAAAUCAUUAAGCAUACCGCCUGGGGAGUACGGCCGCAAGGUUAAA
rnacentral:rRNA from 1 species